rnacentral:rRNA from 1 species
CUACGGGCUGCUGCAGUGAGGAAUAUUGCACAAUGGGGGGAACCCUGAUGCAGCAACGCCGCGUGGAGGAUGACGCAUUUCGGUGUGUAAACUCCUUUUAUAUGUCAAGAAAAUGACGGUAGCAUAUGAAUAAGCACCGGCUAACUCCGUGCCAGCAGCCGCGGUAAUACGGAGGGUGGAAGCGUUACUCGGAAUCACUGGGCGUAAAGGACGCGUAGGCGGGUUAGAAAGUCAGGUGUGAAAUCCUACAGCUUAACUGUAGAACUGCACUUGAAACUUCUAAUCUAGAGUAUGGGAGGGGGAGAUGGAAUUAGUGGUGUAGGGGUAAAAUCCGUAGAUAUCACUAGGAAUACCUAAAGCGAAGGCGAUCUCCUGGAACAUUACUGACGCUAAGGCGUGAAAGCGUGGGGAGCAAACAGGAUUAGAUACCCUAGUAGUC